rnacentral:rRNA from 1 species
AAGGGAAGUCGGCAAAACGGACCCGUAACUUCGGGAAAAGGAUUGGCUCUGAGGACUGGGCACGGGGGUGCCGGCCCCGAACCCGUCGGCUGUCGGCGGAUUGCUCGAGCUGCUCAUGUGGCGAGAGCGGGUCGCCGCGUGCCAGUCGGGGGACGGACCGGGAAUCGCCCCUUCGGGGCUUUCCCCGAGCAUGAUACAGUCGACUCAGAACUGGUACGGACAAGGGCAAUCCGACUGUUUAAUUAAAACAAAGCAUUGCGAUGGUCCUCGCGGAUGCUGACACAAUGUGAUUUUUGCCCAGUGCUCUGAAUGUCAAAGUGAAGAAAUUCAACCAAGCGCGGGUAAACGGCGGGAGUAACUAUGACUCUCUUAAGGUAGCUGUUGGUGUCAAAACCGGCGGAUCUCGGGUAGGGGGUCCCGAACUGUGCAU